GAGAUUGACCAUAGUUCCCCAUGCCAUAAAU
rnacentral:piRNA from 1 species